rnacentral:rRNA from 1 species
GACGUAGGGCGCGAGCGUUGUCCGGAUUUAUUGGGCGUAAAGAGCUCGUAGGCGGCUUGUCGCGUCGACUGUGAAAACCCGCGGCUCAACCGCGGGCCUGCAGCCGAUACGGGCAGGCUAGAGUUCGGUAGGGGGAGACUGGAAUUCCUGGUGUAGCGGUGAAAUGCGCAGAUAUCGGGAGGAACACCGGUGGCGAAGGCGGUUCUCUGGGCCUGUACUGACGCUGAGGAGCGAAGCGUGGGGAUCAAACAGG